UACAGAGGUCUCGAAGCGUUUGUUCGGAUUCAUUGGGCGUAAAGGGUGCGUAGGCGGCGCGGUAAGUCGGGUGUGAAAUCUCGGAGCUUAACUCCGAAACUGCAUUUCGAUACUGACCGUGCUUGAGGACUGGAGAGGAGACUGGAAUUUACGGUGUAGCGGUGAAAUGCGUAGAUAUCGUAAGGAAGACCAGUGGCGAAGGCGGGU
rnacentral:rRNA from 1 species